AGAAUACAACGCUGGCGGCGUGCCUAACACAUGCAAGUCGAACGAGAAAGUGGAGCAAUCCAUGAGUAAAGUGGCGACCGGGUGAGUAACACGUGACUAACCUACCUUCGAGUGGGGGAUAACCUCGGGAAACCGAGGCUAAUACCGCAUAACAUCGUGAGAUCAAAGCAGUAAUGCGCUGGAAGAGGGGGUCGCGGCUGAUUAGCUAGUUGGCGGGGUAAUGGCCCACCAAGGCGAAGAUCGGUA
rnacentral:rRNA from 1 species